rnacentral:rRNA from 1 species
AGAGUUUGAUCCUGGCUCAGAACAAACGCUGGCGGCGUGUCUUAAGCAUGCAAGUCGAGCGGCAAGGGCAGCAAUGCCCCUAGAGCGGCGGACUGGUGAGUAACGCGUGGGUGAUCUACCUAGGGCAUGGGGAUAGCCACUAGAAAUAGUGGGUAAUACCGAAUACGUUCGCAUGGAUGCGUCCAUGCGAGGAAAGGUGCUACGGCACCGGCCUAUGAUGAGCUUGCGUCUGAUUAGCUAGUUGGUGAGGUAAAGGCCCACCAAGGCGAUGAUCGGUAGCCGGCCUGAGAGGGUGUACGGCCACACUGGGACUGAGAUACGGCUCAGACUCCUACGGGAGGCAGCAGCUAAGAAUAUUCCGCAAUGGACGAAAGUCUGACGGAGCGACGCCGCGUGGAUGAUGAAGGCCGAAAGGUUGUAAAGUCCUUUUGCUGGGGAAGAAUAAGCGUGGGAGGGAAUGCCCGCGUGAUGACAUGAACCGGCGAAUAAGCCCCGGCUAACUACGUGCCAGCAGCCGCGGUAACACGUAGGGGGCAAGCGUUGUUCGGAAUUACUGGGCGUAAAGGGCAUGUAGGCGGCCUUGUAAGCUUGGCGUGAAAGUCCACGGCUUAACCGUGGGAUUGCGUUGAGAACUGCGAGGCUUGAGUGACGGAGAGGGAGCUAGAAUUCCUGGUGUAGGGGUGGAAUCUGUAGAGAUCAGGAAGAAUACCAAUGGCGAAGGCAAGCUCCUGGCCGAUGACUGACGCUGAGGUGCGAAAGUGUGGGGAUCAAACAGGAUUAGAUACCCUGGUAGUCCACACUGUAAACGAUGUGCACUAGGUGCUGGGGCGGAUGCUUCAGUGCCGUAGCUAACGUGAUAAGUGCACCGCCUGGGGAGUAUGCUCGCAAG